ensembl:lncRNA
UAUGGGCUUCGUGUGAUACCGUUUUGAGGCCCCAUGUUGAAGGACAGUGGUCCCACUGAGUAUAAGAAAGGUGUAUGAGCAUUACAAACAGAGUAGCGGGACAACGUGGCGUCUGAGGCCGAAAUGGGUCCCCUAAUCGGACUGAAUGGUGCGGUUGGGUGCCAACGGUCCGGAGGUCUUCCUGUAGCUCCAGAGUAGCGGGACAACGUCGCAUCUGAGUCCGAAAUGGGUCCCGUAAUCGGACUGAGUGGUGCGGUUGGGUGCCAACGGUCUGGAGGUCUUCCUGUAGCUCCAGAGUAGAGGGACAACGUCGCGUCUGAGUCCGAAAUGGGUCCCGUAAUCGGACUGAGUGGUGCGGUUGGGUGCCAACGGUCUGGAGGUCUUCCCGGAGCUCCAGAGUAGCGGGACAACUUCGCGUCUGAGGCCGAAUCGGGUCCCCUUGUCGGACUGAAUGGUGCAGUUGGUGGCCAACAGUCUGGAGGUCUUCCUGAGGCUCCAGAGGAGGGUAACUCUGUGAGUCUGAGUCCGAGAUGAGUCCCCUAAUCGGACUGAAUGGUGCAGUUUCAGUACGCCGUGGACCACUUUGGUCUGCCAUCGUCAGUCGCUACGGUCGCUACUCGCUACUGUCUGCCGUGGAAUCAAAACAAACCCUCUAGUUGAGGACGCGCCUUGAUGACGCGGGCCCGAAUGCGCCACAAGAAGCAGACGGAAAACCUUAUAUAUCCAUGCAGCAAACAGACAGGUCUGUCGGCCAAUAAGGUCAUUCGGUCCGAAGAAUUUUAUUGGUUGAAGUUUUCACUAAAUAUUAUGAGAGUAAAAUAAUUGUUUGUUUUUACUCCUGGUGGGUCUGUCUUGCAUAUUAGAGUGUUAUUACCUUAUUAAUACCAAUUUAACCUUAUCCAAAAAAAGUGUAAAAAUGCAACAAAGGUAAGAGUCCCUUUAACAAAAAAAAAAAAAAUUUUUUUUUUUUUUCCUUUGGCUCAAAACAAAGAAGCAGUAGCCUGACUGCUAUGUUCAAAUUACAUUUGUUCAAAGCAGUCGUUUAAUUGCACUAUAGGCUCUUUUUU